GUAGGGAAUAUUGGGCAAUGGAGGCAACUCUGACCCAGCCAUGCCGCGUGCAGGAUGACGGCCCUCUGGGUUGUAAACUGCUUUUAUACGGGAAGAAAAAAUACUACGUGUAGUAUACUGACGGUACCGUAAGAAUAAGGAUCGGCUAACUCCGUGCCAGCAGCCGCGGUAAUACGGAGGAUCCAAGCGUUGUCCGGAUUUAUUGGGUUUAAAGGGUGCGUAGGCGGAUCUUUAAGUCAGUGGUGAAAGCCUGCAGCUUAACUGUAGAAUUGCCAUUGAAACUGAAGAUCUUGAAUGUGGUUAAAGUAGGCGGAAUGUAUCAUGUAGCGGUGAAAUGCUUAGAUAUGAUGCAGAACACCGAUAGCGAAGGCAGCUUGCUGAACCAUUAUUGACGCUGAGGCACGAAAGCGUGGGGAGCGAACAGGAUUAGAAACCCGAGUAGUCC
rnacentral:rRNA from 1 species